CUGGCGUCAGGAUGAACGCUGGCGGCGUAGCCUAACACAUGCAAGUCGAACGGAGUUAUGCUAUGAAGUUUCGGAUGGAUUAAGUAUGACUUAGUGGCGGACGGGUGAGUAACGCGUGGGUAACCUGCCUCAUACAGGGGGAUAACAGCUGGAAACGGCUGCUAAAACCGCAUAAGCAUACAGCACCGCAUGGUGCAGUGUGAAAAUAUUAAUAGGUAUGAGAUGGGCCCGCGUCUGAUUAGCUAGUUGGUAGGUAACGGCUUACCAAGGCGACGAUCAGUAGCCGGCUUGAGAGAGUGACCGGCCACAUUGGGACUGAGACACGGCCCAAACUCCUACGGGAGGCAGCAGUGGGGAAUAUUGCGCAAUGGGGGAAACCCUGAUGCCAGCGACGCCGCGUGAGUGAAGAAGUAUUUCGGUAUGUAAAGCUCUAUCAGCAGGGAAGAAAAUGACGGUACCUGACUAAGAAGCCCCGGCUAACUACGUGCCAGCAGCCGC
rnacentral:rRNA from 1 species